rnacentral:rRNA from 1 species
GGUUGCGAUCAUACCAGCACUAAUGCCCCUGAUCCCAUCAGAACUCCGCAGUUAAGCGUGCUUGGGCGAGAGUAGUACUAGGAUGGGUGACCCCCUGGGAAGUCCUCGUGUUGCAACCC